UUGCAGCCAUAUGAUGUUGAAACACUGGUUAUCAUACAAUCACCAAAGUUAAGCAACAUUGAGCCUGAUCAGUAGCUAGAUGGGUAACUACUUGGGAAUACCAAGUGCU